AACGCAGGCCCACAGGGAACUGAUACGUGUGAUAAGAUUUCGGUUAUCUACAAGUUGAAGGAAUGCAUGAAGGCUAAGACUGGGGGAAGCCCAGAACAAAUCAAAACAAAUAUACGUAAGCAAAAUUAAAUAGAUAGCGGUUUACAUAACGUCUGCAUGUAACUAAAAGACAUAAAAAAGUUUGUAUAAUGCCACGACGAACUUGGUGUACAAAAAUCGAACUUACGGAAAGGUACAAAAAGAGAAAAAUUGAGGUGCUUAUUAAGGUAACGAAAUAUAUAUAACGUCUGCAUGUAUCUAAUACCCAUAAGAAGGUUUGCAUAUGCCGCGACGAACUUGGUCUACGAAAAUCGAACUUACGGAAAGGUACAAAAAAGGAAAAAUUGAGGUGACGAUAUACACCAUUGCUCAAUAUGAAAAAAAAGAAAAAAAAAGAAACUGAAAGACUCCAAAAAAUACUGCAACCUUUUUAAAAAUCACGCGGACACGGUUGCGAAAAGAUAAUAAAAAACCGAAACGUUGCGUGAUUCAGUUAUAUAACGAAAUCAAUACAGGUGACGAUAAACACCAAUAUUCUAAAUGAAAAAAAAAAAGGAAACUGAGACUCCAAAAAAUACUGCAACCUUUUUAAAAAUCACACGGACACGGUUGCGAAAAGAUAAUAAAAAACCGAAACGUUGCGUGAUUCAGUUAUAUAACGAAAUCAAUACAGAAGGAAAUAAAGCACCCCCUAACUUACAGGCUGGCCGGCGACUCUAUAGGAACGGUAAGCAAUAAUUCAACCGUACACACCGCCAUGGUUGCGACGGGGGAGGAGGAAUGGUGGAAUGGUUGAGGUGCGAGAGUGUGUUUGUGGUGGUAAUCCAUAACUUUGAUUUGUGGGUACUGAAAGAGGGGUUAGAGGUUGGUGAAUAGUGGAGGUGCUGUGAAAGAAGAGGGGUUAGAGGAAGGUAAAAAUGAAUGUGAAGUGAGAGAAGAGGGGCUGGAGAAGAAGGAAGGUGAAAGAAGGAAGGGGUUAGAGGAAGGUAAAUAGUGGAAGGGAGAUGAAAGAGAAGAGGGGUUAGAGGAAGGUAAGUAGUGGAAGGGAGGUGAAAGAGAAGAGGGGUUAGAGGAAGGUAAAUAGUGGAAGGGAGAUGAAAGAGAAGAGGGGUUAGGAGGAAGGUAAAGAAUGGAAGGGAGAUGAAAGAAGAAGAGGGGUUAGAAGAAGAGGGGUUAGAGGAAGGUAAAGAAUGGAAGGGAGAUGAAAGAAGAAGAGGGGUUAGAAGAAGAGGGGUUAGAGGAAGGUAAAGAAUGGAAGGGAGAUGAAAGAAGAAGAGGGGUUAGAAGAAGAGGGGUUAGAGGAAGGUAAAGAAUGGAAGGGAGAUGAAAGAAGAAGAGGGGUUAGAAGAAGAGGGGUUAGAGGAAGGUAAAGAAUGGAAGGGAGAUGAAAGAAGAAGAGGGGUUAGAAGAAGAGGGGUUAGAGGAAGGUAAAGAAUGGAAGGGAAAUGAAAAAGAAGAGGGGUUAGUAGAAGGUAAAAAAUGGGAGGUGAUAAAGGAGACACAAAUGGACAAAGAACGGCGUCACAAUUGCACACACAAAAAAAACAGUGGAGAUCAAUGAAAAGGAAGGAAAUGUACAGUGGAAGUGCCUGUUUCGAGUGUGUGGUGGUGGUGGUGGUGGUAAUCGCAGUCUGAGUAGCAGGCUUUUUUUUUUUUACAUUUGUUACCUUGUUUUAUGCCCUUGAACUGACUCCUCUGCCGUAAAAAAAAAAAAUAAUAAAUAAAUAAAA